UACGUAGGGGGCAAGCGUUGUCCGGAAUCAUUGGGCGUAAAGCGCGUGUAGGCGGUUCGGUAAGUCCGCUGUGAAAGUCGGGGGCUCAACCCUCGAAUGCCGGUGGAUACUGUCGGACUAGAGUGCGGAAGAGGCGAGUGGAAUUCCUGGUGUAGCGGUGAAAUGCGCAGAUAUCAGGAGGAACACCAAUUGCGAAGGCAGCUCGCUGGGACGUUACUGACGCUGAGACGCGAAAGCGUGGGGAGCAAACAGG
rnacentral:rRNA from 1 species